rnacentral:rRNA from 1 species
GGAUAACUUACCCUUAGGACUGGGAUAACUCUGGGAAACUGGGGAUAAUACUGGAUAUUAGGCUAUGCCUGGAAUGGUUUGCCUUUGAAAUGUUUUUUUUCGCCUAAGGAUAGGUCUGCGGCUGAUUAGGUCGUUGGUGGGGUAAUGGCCCACCAGGCCGAUGAUCGGUACGGGUUGUGAGAGCAAGGGCCCGGAGAUGGAACCUGAGACAAGGUUCCAGACCCUACGGGGUGCAGCAGGCGCGAAACCUCCGCAAUGUACGAAAGUGCGACGGGGGGAUCCCAAGUGUUAUGCUUUUUUGUAUGACUUUUCAUUAGUGUAAAAAGCUUUUAGAAUAAGAGCUGGGCAAGACCGGUGCCAGCCGCCGCGGUAACACCGGCAGCUCGAGUGGUAGCUGUUUUUAUUGGGCCUAAAGCGUUCGUAGCCGGUUUGAUAAGUCUUUGGUGAAAGCUUGUAGCUUAACUAUAAGAAUUGCUGGAGAUACUAUUAGACUUGAAGUCGGGAGAGGUUAGAGGUACUACCGGGGUAGGGGUGAAAUCCUAUAAUCCUGGGAGGACCACCUGUGGCGAAGGCGUCUAACUGGAACGAUCUUGACGGUGAGUAACGAAAGCCAGGGGCGCGAACCGGAUUAGAUACCCGGGUAGUCCUGGCCGUAAACGAUGUGGACUUGGUGUUGGA